GAGGGUAUAGCUUGGUGGUAGAGUGCGUGCUUAGCAUGCACGAGGUCCUGGGUUCAAUCCUUUAGUACCUCCA
rnacentral:tRNA from 1 species